GAUUAUUUAGUUUAAAAUUAAAACAAAUGUUUUGAAAGCAUUAAAUAGGGUUUCCUAGUAAUCU
rnacentral:tRNA from 1 species